GAUGAACGCUGGCGGCGUGCCUAAUACAUGCAAGUCGAGCGAACAGACGAGGAGCUUGCUCCUCUGACGUUAGCGGCGGACGGGUGAGUAACACGUGGAUAACCUACCUAUAAGACUGGGAUAACUUCGGGAAACCGGAGCUAAUACCGGAUAAUAUAUUGAACCGCAUGGUUCAAUAGUGAAAGACGGUUUUGCUGUCACUUAUAGAUGGAUCCGCGCCGCAUUAGCUAGUUGGUAAGGUAACGGCUUACCAAGGCAACGAUGCGUAGCCGACCUGAGAGGGUGAUCGGCCAAACUGGAACGUAGACACGGUCCAGACUCCUACGGGAGGCAGCAGUAGGGAAUCUUCCGCAAUGGGCGAAAGCCUGACGGAGCAACGCCGCGUGAGUGAUGAAGGUCUUCGGAUCGUAAAACUCUGUUAUUAGGGAAGAACAAAUGUGUAAGUAACUAUGCACGUCUUGACGGUACCUAAUCAGAAAGCCACGGCUAACUACGUG
rnacentral:rRNA from 1 species